ensembl:lncRNA HCG27 HLA complex group 27
AUUUGAGCAGACUUGAAGAGGAGAGAAACUGAGACACGCAGGGCUUGUGGUCCCUGACAAGGAGGACCCUGAGGGCAACCACACCUUGCCAUGCAGAGCACCUGGCUUCUCAUCUGCCAAGCUCACUCUGACCCGGCUGCAGGAAGGGAAGGAGCCAACCCCGGACUCAAGACUCAAGGGGACCAGAACCAGGGAGAUGAGACAUACCAGGGCUGGGCAGCUGUGGGGGUCCUUCCAGAGAGGAGCUGAGAUACGCCUACCUGGAGGGGCCCCUGGGCCUGGAGGGGCUCCUCAGUGUGACUGGGUGAAGUGUUUUCAGAGGACCAGGGUUGAGGUUGGGGGCAUCUCAUCCAGACCCUGCCGGCAUCUGCCCCAGAACCCAAGGGCCCCUCCUUCCUCCCUCCUCAAUGGAAAUGCUGGAGAUGUCCUCAGUCACCCUCUGAGCACUCACACAUCACCCCUUAUUUGGAAAUUUUUCUCACUCUAACCUUCCUUCCUGCCGCACCUUCUGCCCCAUCCCCAGGCUCUGGCCUCUCUCUCUCCUCUUCUACCCUUUAGCAGGUAAUGACUCAGUUCCCACUGAGGAGCCAGCUGUAGGUGAGAGUUUGGGCUCUCGGUGAGGUUGGGAGAAGGAAAAGGCUUAUGGGCCAGGGGGUGGGAGGGAGAAUGGG